rnacentral:rRNA from 1 species
GAUGAACGCUAGCGGCAGGCCUAAUACAUGCAAGUCGAGGGGUAGCAGGAUUAAGCUUGCUUAAUUGCUGACGACCGGCGCACGGGUGCGUAACGCGUAUGCAACCUACCUUAUACUGGGGUAUAGCCCGGAGAAAUUCGGAUUAAUCCCCCAUAGUACUAAUGAAUCGCAUGGUUUAUUAGUUAAAGCAUUGCGGUAUAAGAUGGGCAUGCGUCCUAUUAGCUAGAUGGUGAGGUAACGGCUCACCAUGACUACGAUAGGUAGGGGGCCUGGGAGGGUGGUCCCCCACACUGGUACGGAGAAACGGACCAGACUCCUACGGGAGGCAGCAGUGAGGAAUAUUGGUCAAUGGGCGCAAGCCUGAACCAGCCAUGCCGCGUGCAGGAAGAAUGCCCUAUGGGUUGUAAACUGCUUUUAUUUGGGAAUAAACCUCUUUACGUGUAGAGAGCUGAAGGUACCAAAUGAAUAAGCACCGGCUAACUCCGUGCCAGCAGCCGCCGUAA